AACAACCUGGCAACUCUCUGUGGUCUCCUUCACCCUCUCUGUAAGAAGUGCUUCUCCAUGCUGGGCAUCUCUGUCCACACAUCAAGGACUACUGGGAGAAAUGAAAAGCAGACUCCUGCAGGAGCACUUUGUUCUCUGAUGCAUCUAGAGGGUAGGGAAGUUGGCCCUAGGUACAAAUCAAGGGCUCCACUAAAUUCAUUCAAACAUCUUUUGGUGCAUCAUUAUAGAACAGCAAUCUGGCUCCUGUACAUCUGCCAUUUUAUUAUUUUGGAAGAUCAGGACAGAGAAGAUAAGAACGAAAGCAAGUACAUAUUUGCCAGAUGGAUGAUUGAUGGAUGCAGAGAGAUUUGAAAAGCUUUUUCUGCACUUGUGAAUCUUCUCAACCUACAUGUCAUCAACGCAUAGCCCUGAUCCUUGCCUGCUUACAGCAAACAGGACAAAGACUUGAAUGGGAUUCUAAUGUGUUUCUAACUUGAUAGUCACUAUGGCUGAUGACUCUAUUCUACCCAGAUAAAGAGAGGUGGGGCUCACAGGGAUUGGUGACACCCAGUGUGAUGUCACUAGGGAGUGGAGCUGAAGAUGAAUGGUGAUGGAGUUUUGCAGCUGCCUGCCAUUGUUCUACCUUCCUGGAAACGUGUAUAGGCCACUAGAUUUUUGCCAACUAUAUUUGUGAAGCAGUUUCAAAGAGUUUGUAACUUUUAGAAUCAUAUUGCUACAA